AACUAUUUCAAUAAGAUUCCGAGUUGGGUCCUGGUAGGCAGUCGUGGGGACGGUCUAAACAUUCAGAUUCCCACAGGUCUUAGAAACUCCCACGCCGGUCUAAAAAUUAAAUAGAUGCUUCCUGUUACUUUUAUUUGCUGAUACUCACUACUACUUAAAACCCAUAGUGAGCGUAGCAUACGCAGAUGAAUUGGGAGGGAGUUCACUGAUCAUUUUCACCCAACAAUAAAUUAAUAUAUUGAGUUGAA